rnacentral:rRNA from 1 species
UGCCGAAGCAACUAGCCCUGAAAAUGGAUGGCGCUAAAGCUUCUCACUUAUACCCUGCCGUUCAGUUAGAACCGAGCUUUUAGCUCUUGACAACUGAACGAGUAGGCAGGUCGCAUCGGUGGCGCGGAAGGCUCUGGGUGUGAACCUGGCUGGAGCCGCCGGUGGUGCAGAUCUUGGUGGUAGUAGCAAAUACUCCAGAGAGGCCCUGGAGGACCGAUGUGGAGAAGGGUUUCGUGUGAACAGCUGUUGGACACGAGUCAGUCGAUCCUAAGGCUUAGGGGAAACCUUAUACAAUAGAGCGGUGUUUUCUUAUUGAAGACCGCAUCUACAGCCGAAAGGGAAUGAGGUCCUUAUUCCUCAACCUGAUAGCGGAACCGAUCCGGCCCUCGUACCGACACGGCAACGUGAAAUGAGCCUGAAACGUCCGCCCGAGCUCUGGGAAGAGUUGUCUUUUCUGCAUAAGCCGCCGAGGCCCUGGAAUUCCUUCGAGGAAAGAAUGGGU